AACGAACGCUGGCGGCAGGCUUAACACAUGCAAGUCGAACGCAUCCUUCGGGGUGAGUGGCAGACGGGUGAGUAACGCGUGGGAACGUGCCCUUCAGUUCGGGAUAACCCAGGGAAACUUGGGCUAAUACCGGAUACGUGCGAGAGCAGAAAGAUUUAUCGCUGAAGGAUCGGCCCGCGUCUGAUUAGCUAGUUGGUGGGGUAAUGGCCCACCAAGGCGACGAUCAGUAGCUGGUCUGAGAGGAUGAUCAGCCACAUUGGGACUGAGACACGGCCCAAACUCCUACGGGAGGCAGCAGUGGGGAAUAUUGGACAAUGGGCGCAAGCCUGAUCCAGCCAUGCCGCGUGAGUGAUGAAGGCCUUAGGGUUGUAAAGCUCUUUUACCCGGGAUGAUAAUGACAGUACCGGGAGAAUAAGCUCCGGCUAACUCCGUGCCAGCCGCCGCAGUAA
rnacentral:rRNA from 1 species